rnacentral:misc_RNA from 1 species
GAUGAAGAACGUAGCGAAAUGCGAUAAGUAAUGUGAAUUGCAGAAUUCAGUGAAUCAUCGAAUCUUUGAACGCACAUUGCGCCCCCUGGAAUUCCGGGGGGCAUGCCUGUUCGAGCGUCAUUAUAACCCUCAAGCUCAGCUUGGUGUUGGGGCCUGCUGCACUGGCAGCCCUUAAAAUCAGUGGCGGCGCCAUCUGGCUCUAAGCGUAGUAAUUCUUCUCGCUAUGGAGUCCUGGUGGAUGCUUGCCAUCAACCCCCAAUUUUUCUAUGGUUGACCUCGGAUCAGGUAGGGAUACCCGCUGAACUUAAGCAUAUCAAUAAGCGGAGGA